rnacentral:rRNA from 1 species
GGAAAGAUGAAAAGAACUUUGAAAAGAGAGUUAAACAGUACGUGAAAUUGUUGAAAGGGAAACGAUUGAAGUCAGUCGUGCUGGCGCGAAAUCAACCCUCUCGUCGAGAGGACACAUGGCGUGGCGAGCCUCAAAACCGUCACGAAGCGUGAACUCUUGGCGAAAAGGAGCACUUUCGUGUCCGCUGGUUAACAUCAAUUUCGAACGUCAUAAAAAGGCUGGAGGGAUGUGGCUCCUUCGGGAGUGUUAUAACCUUUAGCGGAAUGUGGUGGUCGGGAUUGAGGAUUGCAACGAAUACCUUUAGGGCUGUUCCACCUGGCUUCUCUUUGGUAUCCUGGUGACGACAGCUUGCUGACGUUGUUAGGAUUCGCCUUUGAACAGGCUAGAGUGUGAGCAAAUUCGUUAAGGAUGUUAACGUAAUGGCUUUAAACGACCCGUCUUGAAACACGGACCA